GGGCUCUUUUGGUCUUGAGUUUUGGACUUGUGCUUGAUAUUUUUUGAUCUUCCAAGUAUCUUUUAGGUCUUCUUUUGAGAUGUUGCAUCCUUAGAGCCUCAGUCCGAUCCUAUUUUAUAUCCUGUGAACUAUAAUCACAAACACUUGAAGAACAUUAGUCCACAAGGUUAUGUUGAUCAUCAAACAUCAAAAUCACUUAGUCAAAUGGCCUGGGAUCCAUUUUCCUUACAAUCUCCCCCUUGUUGGUGGUUGAUGACAACACAACCACAGCAAGCAAAUAUAACAAAUCCCUGAGUGAAAAAUACAAUCUAUAUGCUAGGAUGCAGGAAUGUCCCCUCAAUGUGAGAUUAUGGACUUAAGCUUCCCCCUAAAUUGUAAAGCCUAAAUUUGUGUAAGAGGAAAAUGAGAAACUAAAUAAAUAAAUCUAUGCAUAUGUUGGCAGUUUGGAAUUAGGAACCUUUAGAGAUUAUUUAGUUUUCUUUUCUUUGAACAUAUUCAAUUCAUAGAAAUUAUGUUGGUAAAAUAACAAAUAAAUAAAUACAGAAAUAUGCAUCUCAUGCCGAAGUUCUUAUAAUGCUGCAUUUGUACUUAAAAUUAUGAGACAAGUUUAAGUUUGAAAUCAGAAUUUGAAAAUAGAAAU
rnacentral:lncRNA from 7 species